ACCACCAAUUUGGAUCUGAGAUCAGACAUAACCUUGCCAUAAGCAGCAAAGGGCUUGGUGAACCCUCAAAAAGGCUGUCAAACACCCAGAGGCCUUGGGGAUCAGGAAGGAGCUAUCAUGUGGUCUUUCAUGAAAAACUGGUUCACCCAUACCAAGCCUACACAUUUCAGCCCAUGAGGAUGGAGAAAAAGAAGAAAUUGAUGACAGAUUCUAUCAUCACAAAAGGAUAAGAGAGAAUUGUCCUGCCUGAUGGGCUUCAAACCACCAGAACAUCAGUUCUUCCUGGUUCUGCAGUAGUCUCCAACCUUCAGACUCAAACUUCAGCACCUGUUCUUCAGAUUUUGGACUUGCAGCCUCUAUAAUCACAUGAGCCAAUUCCUUAUAUAAAUUUAUUUAUACAUGCUGACAGUUGGUUCUGUUUCUCUGGAUAACCCUGACUGUUAGAGCUGUUACCUCAAAUUUGUUUUCUUAUAUUUGGUGUCUGUUUUGGAGUACUUACAAGUGCUUAAAAUGUUCUUUUUCAAUUAGGUGAGUCUCAGUCUCUAAGAUAAUUUUUUUAUUGUUCUAUUUUAUAGAUUACAUGUUAAUGUCAAUUAAGCUAUAAACAUUUUAUUGCUGAUACAUUAUCAAAAUGCUUUUCAAACAGCCAUUUCCAACAGUCUAUUCUUUGGCAAAAAAACAAUGCCAUUCUCUUGCCAUGGCCAAAUGUGAGUGCUACUAACAGGUAAACUCUUAAUUUGUAAGUGAGGCUGAAAUCUUAAAAUGCCUUCCUGAAACUUAUACAUGAUUGAUUUUGUUUAUUUGUGUAAUUUCUUUGUUCUAUGGUUUCAGCUUCAAUUGCUGAGAAAAUGUCAAGAUUAUUUCCUGAGAAUUUCCUUUGUGGCUAAGACAAAGGAGAAGUUUUAAUUUUACUAGAAACUGUGAAACGAGGCUUUUAAAAAGUUUCAUUAAAAAAAAAAUUAGGGAAGAAUAGGCAUAUUCAGAAAACCUACUUUCAUUUAGGCUGGAUUGGUUCCUGUAGAACAUAGCUGCGCCUGGAAUUGAAUGAUCGUGUUUUCCGUGCAGAGCUAUCUGCCUUUGGACAGGAGGAGAACUCUCAGCACCAUUCCCUUUCCACGGGAGCUUCUUUUUUCUCAUUCUUUUUCUUGCCUCCCUCAACUCCCAUCCUCUGUUCUGGGAGAAGGUGAAGCUGGCCUGACAGGCCUGAGGGAAGCCGGACGGAGGCACACUUGCCAGCUUUUAGUUGAGGGAGGCACCGCAGCAAGGCUCUCCAGUCCCUCCUUCCCUGGGAGCACCAGCUCUGAUUCUAGUGGGCAGCUGCAGCUAAGACGAAGACAAAUGAAUCCAGAGACUUCUCUCGAGCUAUGAGCCUGAGCCAAAGGCACAGCCCAGCUGUCCAGAGAGCUUUGUGACAGAACAUGGGGGGCCAGCUGACAGGAACCGAGGCACUUUUAAAUUUAGCACUUGUCCUCGCCCUUUCGGUUCACGAUUUCUUGGAAGUUUCAUUUGGAAAAAGAGGUGAGGGACAGAAGUAGAAGUUGGGAAUUCUAGAUCCCUUGAUUCUAGAAUAUUCUAAGAUCUUCCAAACUAACCCUGAUUCCUAAAAACAGAAUAGGACAAUCUUGUUUUCGGUAUUGAGAAUAGCAAAUAUAGAAAUCCCUUAAUUCUUUGACUUAGCUUAGCAGGUGCAAUUAGUUCUAUCCCUAAGCCUUCUUACCAGAAAAUUUUCUAGUGUAAAAUGAUUGGAUGGGAUACCAAUUGGGAUGGGUGUGGUAAUAGUAAAACCAUAUUCUUUAAUAACUUUUUCUUAUUUGUUUUCCUGGAAUUUUGGUUGGCAUUUUUUAAUGAAUUACAUGCUUAUUUUUAAAAAUUAUUAUGAUGGAGAAUUUUUGUUAGGCAGAAUUUCAAAUCUGUCAUCUGCUGUUGACUCUUACUUUCACUACAAAUUUACGAAGGUAGAGAGACCCAGUUCUUACUUAAGUUAUAUCUAACAUAAAAAUACAAUUCUGUCCCAAUCUGUUCAUUUAAAGGGUAAAUUUAUAGCAUCUGUUCAACUUUAUAUGCUAUCUCAAAAUUGUCAACAUUUUAAGCAAGGUGCUACCUAAUUUUAAUGGGUGCACAAGAGGGAAAAGUGGGUCAUUGACUUCAAAGGCGAAACUAUAAGCUAUUAAUGGGCUACGUUGUGCUGAAUUACAAUCUCUUUUCUUGUUUCAAGUUAAAAUUUUUAAGUGGCCACAUGUUUGGCAUUGUAAUUGAUACCACAAUGCUGCUGUUCCUUGACUCAUUCAUUCUCAAAUGUAUAUAUAUAUAUAUUCUUAGUUCACAAAUUUCUAUUUCUUUUACACAAGUUGCUAUUUCUUGUAGUGUUCAUGAACUGGGUAUGCUGUCCUUUGUAAUGAAAGACUACAGACUGCCAUGAAUAGUACCUUGGCUUCUUUUUUUACAGUGUGGAAUGAGAGCAUUUAUUAUUGUUGCAUUAUUGUAUUUUUGAAUAAAAAUCCCUAUUCCCACUGUACCAAAUC
rnacentral:lncRNA from 1 species